CACAUCACCGAUUCCCGUACGAUCACCGAAGUUAAGCAAUGUCAUGUUUGAUCAGUAUCUAGAUGGGUGACCGAUUGGGAAUAUCAGGUGUU